rnacentral:lncRNA from 13 species
AUGGCCUGUCCCCAAACAGCUCAGAGGUCAACAGCCCAGAACAGACGUAGACAUCUACCCUCAGGUGUGCCCCACUGUGUCCAACUUCCUCUGAGGUGCCUCCCUACCAGGCUAAGGGAACCGGGGAAGCAGAGAGAGGGGAAAAGAGAGAGAGAGAGAGAGAGCGCGAGCGAGCGCGCGCGCAAGCCAGCCAUCUUGGCAGCCAUUUUGAACCCCUCCCCCUCCUGCCCCCAGGCACACAUGUUGGGAUGUGGAAGGUGGGACGGCAAACCCAGGCUCUGGGUCCUGUGGAAGCCAGGAAGGGGGGCCCUGCCUGGAAGGGGGAUCCAGGGACACCCACACAGCUGCCAUGGCUGGGGGUGGAGGGGUGUUGGAACAGGAGGAAAGGGACCAGGCAGGUACAGUGAGGUGCUGCCAGGGAUGGGGCAGUGUGAGGACCCGGACUGGAAGUGUAGGGACAGGGGUGUGUGCAGCCAGGGGGCCAUCUUCAGAUGGUGGCCGAGAUGCACGGGAGAGAUACCUGGAAGGGCAUUUUCUGGACAGUGCAAGAACAAAUACAACACACCCCGCCACCCCACCACUUCAGGCCUGGACUCGGGUCCCAGGACCGUCAGAUGGGAGGAUGACAACCGAACCCUCGGAGCUCUAUCCAAUGCGCACCUGGGGUGGGGGUGGGGAAUUGUCCUCAAGGCACGAAUAAUCCCGGUGGAUCAAACCUGCCAGCCUCGCGUGCUUUACCCGGCACCACGGAGAGAAGAGGUUGCCCAGCUGCACCCCCUCCUUCUGACAGCGUCGCCCCCCGGGCUGCGGCCGGCCCGACACCCAGACAGACCCCUCCCCAUCCCCGCCCCCCGCCACUGCCUCCCAGAGAAAAACAACCCCCUCGCCCAGCAUCCUGUGGUGCCAGCCCUCGACAAGGCUCCUCCGGGGCCCGGGGCCGGCGCGCGGCGCGCACACGCACCCCCUCCGCUCACACCCAGACACCUACACAAACAGGGCGCCAAGCACCCGCGCGCACACGCACCGGGGACACGCAGGCACCGCCGCGCCGCUUCCCCACAAAGGCUGGCGCGCGCGCGGGCACACGCAGCCACGCGCGGGCACACUCGCGGUCCCCUCCCCCCGCCAGGCACCCUGCGGCCGGCAGUCCGCACCCCCGCGCCCUGGGCGCUCCGUGGGGCAGCCCCUCCCGACCCCUAG